AGAGUUUGAUCAUGGCUCAGAACUAACGCUGGCGGCGUGCCUAAUACAUGCAAGUCGAGCGCGAAAGUCCUUCGGGAUGAGUAGAGCGGCGCACGGGUGAGUAACACGUGGGUAAUCUGCCUAGAGAUGGGGAAUAACUCCUCGAAAGAGGAGCUAAUACCGCAUAAGACUACAGUUUCUACGGAUACAGUAGUUAAAGGCGACCUCUAUUUAUAAGUUGUCGUCUCUAGAUGAGCCUGCGCAUUAUUAGCUAGUUGGUGAGGUAAAAGCUCACCAAGGCUACGAUAAUUAGCUGGUCUGAGAGGAUGAUCAGCCACACUGGAACUGAGAUACGGUCCAGACUCCUACGGGAGGCAGCAGUAGGGAAUAUUGCUCAAUGGGGGAAACCCUGAAGCAGCAACGCCGCGUGAGUGAUGAAGGCUUUCGGGUCGUAAAGCUCUGUUGUACAUGAAAAACGAUGUCAUGGCUAAUAUCCAUGGCAAGUGAUGGUAGUGUAUAAGAAAGGACCGGCUAACUUCGUGCCAGCAGCCGCGGUAAGACGGGGGGUCCUAGCGUUGUUCGGAAUUAUUGGGCGUAAAGCGUGUGCAGGUUGUCUGAAAAGUUAGAUGUGAAAUCCUUGGGCUCAACCCAAGACGUGCAUUUAAAACUACCAGACUUGAGUAUGGAAGAGGAUCGUGGAAUUCCAAGUGUAGUGGUGAAAUACGUAGAUAUUUGGAGGAACACCGGUGGCGAAGGCGGCGAUCUGGUCUUAUACUGACACUCAUACACGAAAGCGUGGGGAUCAAACAGGAUUAGAUACCCUAGUAGUCC
rnacentral:rRNA from 1 species